rnacentral:tRNA from 12 species
CGGAUGUAGCCAAGUGGAUCAAGGCAGUGGAUUGUG